rnacentral:rRNA from 1 species
UACGAAGGGGGCUAGCGUUACUCGGAUUGACUGGGCGUAAAGGGCGCGUAGGCGGCUUGUACAGUCAGACGUGAAAUUCCUGGGCUCAACCUGGGGGCUGCGUUUGAUACGUGCGGGCUUGAGUUCGGAAGAGGGUCGUGGAAUUCCCAGUGUAGAGGUGAAAUUCGUGAGAUAUUGGGAAGAACACCGGUGGCGAAGGCGGCGACCUGGUCCGAUACUGACGCUGAGGCGCGAAAGCGUGGGGGAGCAAACAGGG